rnacentral:rRNA from 1 species
CCUACGGGUGGCAGCAGUGGGGGAUAUUGCACAAUGGGGGCAACCCUGAUGCAGCGACGCCGCGUGAGCGAUGGAGUACUUCGGUAUGUAAAGCUCUGUCAGCAGGGAAGAGAAUGACGGUACCUGACCAAGAAGCCCCGGCUAAAUACGUGCCAGCGGCCGCGGUAAUAGUAUGGGGCCAGGGGUAUCCGGAUUUACCGGGUGUAAAGGGAGCGUAGGCGGUAGGGGAAGGCUGAUGUGAAAGCCCGGGGCUCAACCCCGGGGCUGCAUUGGGAACUGCCCCGCUCGAGUGCCGGAGGGGCAGGCGGAAGUCCUAGUGUAGCGGUGAAAUGCGUAGAUAUUAGGAGGAACACCAGUGGCGAAGGCGGCCUGCUGGACGGGGGACUGACGCUGAGGCUCGAAAGCGUGGGGAGCAAACAGGAGUAGAUACCCCAGUAGUC